GGCCAGACAGCCCCGUCUUCUGUGCCAAGCGACUACGGCAGAAGCUCACGCGGCUCCGGCCCCGCUUGAUUAGCACUUUGGCUGCUUUCGAGAAUCCUGGAGUGUUUUUGUUCCAGAAACCGGAAGUAAGCACCAGAAAUCAGCAAAAAAAAAAAAUCAUUGUCAUGUGACUGCAAGAUGUUGGAAAUGUCCAUAAAGUCCUGACACCAGCUUUGACCCAAUGGAAUGAUGACCACCCUUCACUUCAAGUCAGAGUGAUAACCCCCUGUAAGACACAGCACCUUGUGGAAGCAGAUCUGUACUUCAGAAUAAGUUUAGAAUCCUUUGAGUUUUUCCUUUAGCUUAGGGUACCUUUUUCUACAGAUUUUUGGUCCUUCAUGUCAUAAACCUUAGGACUCCAAAAAGCCAGCUGAUGCCUCCCUCUUAACGAAUAAGACAUCAUUUGCGAGACAUAAGAUAUGAUAUUUACAAUGGAAUACAAUAGAGAGAAUGACUUUCUUGGAAAAAUAAAAGUAUAUCUUUCAAGGAAUACUGGAGCUGAAGCCUUAAUGUAUCAGGAAUGCCUCAUAUUAGGAAAGCUGGUAUAUUUAGUUUGACUCCUUCCAAGCUAUUUAUUUAUUUCUUCAUUUCAAACUAUGAAUACUAUAGGCACAACCCAGCUCCAAUAAAUCACUUUUUCUCAUCUUUCUAUGGUAGCAAGUAGUAUAAAUCUCAAAUUCUAUAACAGUAGCAUCAUAAUAGUAUUCCUCCUGUUCUUUCAAAGUAAAAGUGACUUUAUAGUAUAAUUUCGAUACCAAAAUCAGUGGUAAGAGAACUUUCUGAUUUUGAUAGUGUCAAAGGAAAAACCUCAACCAUAUAAUAUAAAGUAACUUCUGACACUUGGGCUAUGCCAAGGAAGUUGAUGGUGCUUCACUGCAGGUUAUGUUAUUACUGCUUUUAAUUAUUUUUGUGGAUCUUUUGGAAGUGAGAUAUAGAAACCUAAUUAAGAAAUAUAUAAAUUUGGUCAAGAUCCAGGAUAGUUUUUGCAGAUUUUAAUAAGUUUAGAACAAUGAUAAUAGGAUCCCAUGGCAGGAAAAGCUAAUGGAUGGGUGGAAGAAGGAAAAAGCUAAUGGAGCCCAAAAUGGAUAGGAAAAGGGAGAAGGAGGUAAUGCUAAAUAUUACUGAGAUUUAAAAAAAUGGAAACUGCAUAAAAAGGCAGAGCUGCUGCACAUAAAUCCUGAUAUCAAAAAGCAAACCUAGGAGCUGGAAAGAAUUACCCAAGAAUACCAAAGGAUAAUCUGAAAUUUUAGAGAUUUUGUGAGGAAAACUUAAGUUGGCAAAAGAUAUUUAAGAUCAACUGGGGAAAAAUCCUUUGUAAAUACGUUCAAAAACUUAGGAAGAGAAAAAGAAACAGUAUUCCAGCCACUCUGAGGAUGGCAAAAGGUUCCAGGUUGAAUUAUUCAAUGCAGCUUUUGGCUCAGGAUUCCUUGAGAAGAUGGAAUGUGUCCCACCAGACGCUUUUAAAGAAGAAGGUUUUCAAUUGAGCUGGAGCUUAGUAGACACAUAGGGAACAUCCGUUGACAAUCAGACAUGCAAGAUUGAUGUCAGCCACAGUAGGAAGAUCAGACCAUAAAAUCAAUUCCACAGAAAGCUAAAACUAUUUUUAUGGAGAUUGGCUAAAAUAACAGAAUCUUCCAAGUCUGUGCUGGGCCUCCUCCUCCCCCUUAUAGUUCUGGAUGUCUUGAGAGAUAACUACACUUCUGAAUGUUAUCUAGUUCUGAACAUAAAAAAUAUUUCAACCCCUUUUGCCUAGAUAAUUAAGAGCAGGCAGAGCUGAGAUGUGUGUGAAAUGAAGAACACCAUCAGAUUAAAGUUGUACUACCACUAACAGUCAUUGUCCAAUCCCUCAAGUUCUGUUGACCUUAUCUGUCUCUAAAUUAGGAUUCAACUUUAGUUGAUUCAUGUGUAUAGACUUGAA